CAUUAAGAAGCUAUAUCCAAGCAUUAGCCUUUUAAGCUAAAGAGAGAGGGCCCCCGCACCUCCUUAAUG
rnacentral:tRNA from 1 species